AGGAAGAUUAGGAACACUUUUUGAAACCAAAUGAUAAAGUGCUUUUAUUUGGUCAUCUCGAAACUGAUAACCAGGUUCUGUUUCUAAAACGAUAGAAGCUGAAGCCUCCUCGGCUUUAUCGGACACAAAUACCCCGGGUU
rnacentral:antisense_RNA from 1 species